GACGAAGGGGGCUAGCGUUGUUCGGAAUUACUGGGCGUAAAGCGAGUGUAGGUGGUUGUCCAAGUUGGAUGUGAAAGCCCGGGGCUCAACUCCGGAAUUGCCUUUAAGACUGCAUCGCUAGAAUUGUGGAGAGGUGAGUGGAAUUCCGAGUGUAGAGGUGAAAUUCGUAGAUAUUCGGAAGAACACCAGUGGCGAAGGCGACUCACUGGACACAUAUUGACGCUGAGGUGCGAAAGCGUGGGGAGCAAACAGG
rnacentral:rRNA from 1 species